rnacentral:rRNA from 1 species
GAUGAACGCUGGCGGCGUGCUUAACACAUGCAAGUCGUACGGUAGCCUUGGAUUCGUCUGAGGUGAGAGUGGCAAACGGGUGAGUAACACGUAGGUGACCUACCCUAAAGUGGGGAACAACUGCUGGAAACGGUAGCUAAUACCCCAUGGUCCUGGUGAUUCGCUUCACCAGGUAAAGUCGAAAGGCGCUUUUGGAUGGACCUGCGGCCCAUCAGGUAGUUGGUAGGGUAACGGCCUACCAAGCCUAUGACGGGUAGGGGGUGUGAGAGCGCGGCCCCCCACACUGGCACUGCGACACGGGCCAGACUCCUACGGGUGGCUG